GAAACAUUUGCUCAGUGGUAGAGCAUCUGCUUUGCAUGCAGAAAGUCCCAGGUAGGCCUGGGAGAGACC